AAAAAAUAUAGAAAAAGAACGCAUCGUUCAGAUUCAAGAAGUAAAAUUGGAAACUUGAACCCUAGCAGCAGCCACCACUUCGCCGUCGACCAUCUUCUCCUCCGCAACUUCGCCGUUCAUCAACGCAUAUCGUCAUCUCUAGGGGCGGAUCUACAUGUACUUGAGGGUGUGCUACUGCACCCCUGAACCUGUAAAAUUUGCACGUAUAAUCUCCUAUUUUUGUUUUUUGCACACUCUAAAAAUUUAAUUUUGCACCCAUGAUUCACUGCUUCUCUCUCAAAGAAAAUUAAAAAAUGAAGAAAGAAAAAGAAAUGGUGUAAAAGAAUGACAG
rnacentral:lncRNA from 1 species